GAAGCAAGCCAGACAGCCGCUGGUCCGUGUAGCAAUGCAUGGGCGGGAGGAAGGUCCGGACUCCAUAGAGCGGGGUGACGGUUAACGGCCGUCCGCUGAAAGCCAGCAAUGGUAUAAGGCGAGGAAUAGGGCCACAGAGACGAGCGUAUUAAGUUACGGUGAAACGCGGUAACCUCCACCUGGUGCAAUUUCAAAUAGGCACGCGAUGAUGCUGCUCGCGGAGCGUGCGGGUAGAAAGCUUGAGCGGCGGAGUAAUCCGUCGCCUAGAGGAAUGGCUGUCAUAGCGCCGACCGCAAGGAAGGCGCCGUAACAAAAUCCGGCCUAUCGGCUUGCUUCACUU
rnacentral:RNase_P_RNA from 1 species